rnacentral:rRNA from 1 species
UACGGGGGGGGCAAGCGUUGUUCGGAAUUAUUGGGCGUGAAGCGCGUGUAGGCUGCGAUGUAAGUCAGGUGUGAAAGCCCUCAGCUUAACUGAGGAAGUGCACUUGAUACUGUGUCGCUUGAGUGUCGGAGGGGGUGGCGGAAUUCCCGGUGUAGAGGUGAAAUUCGUAGAUAUCGGGAGGAACACCUGUGGCGAAGGCGGCCACCUGGACGACAACUGACGCUGAGACGCGAAAGCGUGGGUAGCAGACAGG